rnacentral:rRNA from 1 species
UACGUAGGGGGCUAGCGUUAUCCGGAAUUACUGGGCGUAAAGGGUGCGUAGGUGGUUUCUUAAGUCAGAGGUGAAAGGCUACGGCUCAACCGUAGUAAGCCUUUGAAACUGGGGAACUUGAGUGCAGAAGAGGAGAGUGGAAUUCCCAGUGUAGCGGUGAAAUGCGUAGAUAUUAGGAGGAACACCAGUUGCGAAGGCGGCUCUCUGGACUGUAACUGACACUGAGGCACGAAAGCGUGGGGAGCAAACAGG